AUGAGAGCAACUAAUCAGAAUGCAAACACGCUGAAAAGGAUUCUCGACAUGUACUGUGUUAGUUCAGGGCAGCGUGUAAGUACCCCAAAAUCCAGUAUAUUUUUUAGUCCUAAUACCAGAGUAAAUGACAGGGAGAGUGUUUGCGGAAUGCUGGACAUAUUAACUGAAGCUCUGUCAGAUAAGUAUCUGGGUUUACCAACUAUGGUUGGGGUUGACCGUAGUGAUUGUUUUCAGCACCUAGUUGACAGAGUGUGCCAGAGACUGAAGGGAUGGAAAGAAAAGACUUUAUCAAUGCAAGUUGACACAUACCAUACCAACAGCCGAAUUUAUUUUGGUGGCCAUGUGGUUCAUUUGGUGGCAAAGAAGGCAACGUACAAGAGGGGAGACAGUACAAACACCGAAUCAAACAACUAUUUCUAUUCAAGUACUUGCCACAAAUUUUGUUCGUGCUCAUUCACCAAACCAGCCUAUACGUAG
rnacentral:rRNA from 1 species